AUGACUAGGGAUAACCUUAGGAAGAGACACAUCAUCAAACCCCUUGAUUGUGUUUACUGCUUGGAACAAGAGUCUUGUUCUCACCUAUUUUUUGAAUGUAUAGUUGCUAAACAUCUCUGGGCCCACAUUGAGGAAUAUUUCUCUAGUCAGAUUGGCUCAUCCUUCGAAUCUGUCGCCAGAUUCUGGAUUGCUACCAAAAGUGCCGUUUUAAACACUGUUAGCUCAACUGUCCUUUGGUGCCUCUGGAAAUAUAGAAAUGCUAUGAUUUUCAGUAACACCUCCUGGAUUUCCAUUCCGCAGGUCUUGAGGUUGAUCAGGAACUUGGUGAGGAACUGGGCGAUUCUCUCCUCCGGAUCGGACAAGGACAAGUUGAUGGGCUUCGUGGAAACCCUAACACGAUCCCUCCAGAAACCAUUGGCGAUCACUUGUGGUUGA
rnacentral:rRNA from 1 species